rnacentral:rRNA from 1 species
GACGAACCGUGCAAACGUUGUUCGGAAUCACUGGGCUUAAAGGGCGCGUAGGCGGCCUGCCAAGUCCGGGGUGAAAUCUUCCGGCUCAACCGGAAAAGUGCCUCGGAUACUGGCGGGCUCGAGCGAGGUAGGGGCAUGUGGAACUUCCGGUGGAGCGGUGAAAUGCGUUGAUAUCGGAAGGAACGCCGGUGGCGAAAGCGACGUGCUGGACCUCUUCUGACGCUGAUGCGCGAAAGCUAGGGGAGCGAACGGG